rnacentral:rRNA from 1 species
GACGAACGCUGGCGGCGUGCUUAACACAUGCAAGUCGAACGGAAAGGCCCUGCUUUUGUGGGGUGCUCGAGUGGCGAACGGGUGAGUAACACGUGAGUAACCUGCCCUUGACUUUGGGAUAACUUCAGGAAACUGGGGCUAAUACCGGAUAGGAGCUCCUGCUGCAUGGUGGGGGUUGGAAAGUUUCGGCGGUUGGGGAUGGACUCGCGGCUUAUCAGCUUGUUGGUGGGGUAGUGGCUUACCAAGGCUUUGACGGGUAGCCGGCCUGAGAGGGUGACCGGCCACAUUGGGACUGAGAUACGGCCCAGACUCCUACGGGAGGCAGCAGUGGGGAAUAUUGCACAAUGGGCGGAAGCCUGAUGCAGCAACGCCGCGUGCGGGAUGACGGCCUUCGAGUUGUAAACCGCUUUCGCCUGUGACGAAGCGUGAGUGACGGUAAUGGGUAAAGAAGCACCGGCUAACUACGUGCCAGCAGCCGCGGUGAUACGUAGGGUGCGAGCGUUGUCCGGAUUUAUUGGGCGUAAAGGGCUCGUAGGUGGUUGAUCGCGUCGGAAGUGUAAUCUUGGGGCUUAACCCUGAGCGUGCUUUCGAUACGGGUUGACUUGAGGAAGGUAGGGGAGAAUGGAAUUCCUGGUGGAGCGGUGGAAUGCGCAGAUAUCAGGAGGAACACCAGUGGCGAAGGCGGUUCUCUGGGCCUUUCCUGACGCUGAGGAGCGAAAGCGUGGGGAGCGAACAGGCUUAGAUACCCUGGUAGUCCACGCUGUAAACGGUGGGUACUAGGUGUGGGGUCCAUUCCACGGGUUCCGUGCCGUAGCUAACGCUUUAAGUACCCCGCCUGGGGAGUACGGCCGCAAGGCUAAAACUCAAAGGAAUUGACGGGGCCCCGCACAAGCGGCGGAGCAUGCGGAUUAAUUCGAUGCAACGCGUAGAACCUUACCUGGGUUUGACAUGGAUCGGGAGUGCUCAGAGAUGGGUGUGCCUCUUUUGGGGUCGGUUCACAGGUGGUGCAUGGCUGUCGUCAGCUCGUGUCGUGAGAUGUUGGGUUAAGUCCCGCAACGAGCGCAACCCUUGUUCACUGUUGCCAGCACGUUAUGGUGGGGACUCAGUGGAGACCGCCGGGGUCAACUCGGAGGAAGGUGGGGAUGACGUCAAGUCAUCAUGCCCCUUAUGUCCAGGGCUUCACGCAUGCUACAAUGGCUGGUACAGAGAGUGGCGAGCCUGUGAGGGUGAGCGAAUCUCGGAAAGCCGGUCUCAGUUCGGAUUGGGGUCUGCAACUCGACCUCAUGAAGUCGGAGUCGCUAGUAAUCGCAGAUCAGCAACGCUGCGGUGAAUACGUUCCCGGG